rnacentral:rRNA from 1 species
AUUUUUAAUGGCCGCGGUAAAUUGACCGUGCAAAGGUAGCAUAAUCAUUAGCCUUUUAAUUGGGGGCUUGUAUGAAUGGUUGGACAAGAUAUUAGCUGUCUCAUUAAUUUUUAUAUAAUUUAAAUUUUGAGUUAAAAUGCUUAAAUUAUUUUAAAGGACGAGAAGACCCUAUAGAUCUUUAUUAUUUAAAUUUUUAAUUUUUUUAGUUUAUUUUUUUAUUAAUUAUUUAUUUUUUUUUGUUGGGGUGACAUUGGGAUAUAAUUAACUCUUUUUUAUUUUAUUCAUUUAUUUUUGUAUAUUUGACCUUUUAUUAUUGUUAUAAGAUUUAGAUACCUUAGGGAUAACAGCGUUAUUUCUUUUGAGAGUUCAUAUCGACAAAGAAGAUUGCGACCUCGAUGUUGGAUUAAGAUUAAUAUUUAAUGCAGAAGUUUAAUUAUUAGGUCUGUUCGACCUUUAAAAUCUUACAUGAUCUGAGUUCAAACCGGAGA